CCUACGGGAGGCAGCAGUCGAGAAUCAUUCACAAUGGGGGAAACCCUGAUGGUGCGACGCAGCGUGGGGGAAUGAAGGUCUUCGGAUUGUAAACCCCUGUCAUGUGGGAGCAAAUUAAAAAGAUAGUACCACAAGAGGAAGAGACUGCUAACUCUGUGCCAGCAGCCGCGGUAAUACAGAGGUCUCAAGCGUUGUUCGGAAUCACUGGGCGUAAAGCGUGCGUAGGCUGUUUCGUAAGUCGUGUGUGAAAGGCGCGGGCUCAACCCGCGGACGGCACAUGAUACUGCGAGACGAGAGGAAUGGAGGGGGAACCGGAAUUCUCGGUGGAGCAGUGAAAUGCGUAGAUAUCGAGAGGAACACUCGUGGCGAAGGCGGGUUCCUGGACAUUAACUGACGCUGAGGCACGAAGGCCAGGGGAGCGAAAGGGAUUAGAUACCCGUGUAGUC
rnacentral:rRNA from 1 species